rnacentral:rRNA from 1 species
GAUGAACGCUGGCGGCGUGCCUAAUACAUGCAAGUCGAGCGAACAGACGAGGAGCUUGCUCCUCUGACGUUAGCGGCGGACGGGUGAGUAACACAUGGAUAACCUACCUAUAAGACUGGGAUAACUUCGGGAAACCGGAGCUAAUACCGGAUAAUAUAUUGAACCGCAUGGUUCAAUAGUGAAAGAGGGUUUUGCUGUCACUUAUAGAGGGAUCCGCGCCGCAUUAGCUAGUUGGUAAGGUAACGGCUUACCAAGGCAACGAUGCGUAGCCGACCUGAGAGGGUGAUCGGCCACACUGGAACUGAGACACGGUCCAGACUCCUACGGGAGGCAGCAGUAGGGAAUCUUCCGCAAUGGGCGAAAGCCUGACGGAGCAACGCCGCGUGAGUGAUGAAGGUCUUCGGAUCGUAAAACUCUGUUAUUAGGGAAGAACAAAUGUGUAAGUAACUAUGCACGUCUUGACGGUACCUAAUCAGAAAGCCACGGCUAACUACGUG